rnacentral:tRNA from 1 species
GCCGCAGUGGUGGAAUUGGUAGACACGUACGUUUCAGGGGCGUAUGGUUGCAAGACCGUGGGGGUUCGAGUCCCCCCUGCGGCA